rnacentral:rRNA from 1 species
GGUAGCUACGUUCGGGACGGAUAAACGCUGAAAGCAUCUAAGCGUGAAACCAGCCUUGAGAUGAGGUUUCUCAUAGCGUAAGCUAGUAAGAUCCCAUGUAGACGACAUGGUAGAUAGGCCAGGUGUGGAAGAGCCGUGAGGUUUGGAGCUGACUGGUACUAAUCGAUCGAGGGCUUUACUUA